rnacentral:lncRNA from 1 species
CAAAGAUACAGAGAAAACCGCCGAUUUUUAUGCUUAGAUUUGAUGAAGAGUGGAUAGCUGUGUAGAAAUCUGAUUGGACAAAGAGGGUAUGAUCUAAUAGUAGUAUACUGAGUGGGAAAACCCAGCAAGGCCUGUCUGUUUGGAUUUUUCUUGGCUUCUUUGUGUAACAUUCUUUCCUCCUGGGUAUGGAUCAGUAUCCUUUCUGGAAUGGGGCUCUCAUAACCUACUGUUCAACAAGCUACUCUUUAGAGGUAUGAUGGAUCUCCCCACAAAGUCUGGUUCAGGUGUCAAGACCUACACACCAAGAAACGAUGAGAAGAAUUAUCAUUCACAUGAGACUUUCUGGGGCAAGCAGAGUGGCUACCAAACAGGUCUUAAAAUGGCUUGAGAAAUCCAGGUCCCAGAUAAUAAUUAGGAAAACAAAUCAGGACCGAAACUCCAGAGAGUCUGAAAUUGGCUGACCAUGGAACACCUAACCCGAAAAUAUGCAUAUCCCUUUCAGAGGGCAAAAGCACUUUUGAAGUGGCCUCCGAUGCGAAGGUGAGAUCAGAAAUACGCCUGUGGAACCCUCUACAUGCGGAUCUGGCAAGCAUUCAACACAAACGCAAUUAGAGGGCUUACCCUUGCAUGAAAUAUUUGCUUUCCUGAUAGUCACUAACUUUAAACUUUAGGAAUGCCAGGGCAUAGUGUUUCUGUAUCAGAACUAGAAUCCUCUACUUCACUUUCUUCAGCUAUUAUUUUUGAAGUUUGCAUAUCGUAUUAAAGUCCCACCAAACAAUAAAUAGGAAAGCAUGAUUUUAUUAAAAUCCUCUUGAGACAACCGCAUCUGCCCUGGCUAUUCUUUGAUCAGGGUCUGAGAGGUUGCAGCAUGCACACUCACCCAGAGGUACUUGAGAGCAUUGUUCACGUAUUCAAUGAAUAUUGAAUGCUAGAGUGAAUCUACACUGGGCUUAGAUCAGCAUAAAUCUCCACAACUCACCUUCAAUGGUGGACACAGGCAACUAACCAGG